GACUCGAUAGCUCAGUCGGUAGAGCACAUCACUUUUAAUGAUGGGGUCCUGGGUUCGAGCNN
rfam:Flavobacterium sp. Leaf359 contig_7, whole genome shotgun sequence.